rnacentral:rRNA from 1 species
GGUGAGUAACGCGUGAGUAACCUGCCUUCAAGAGGGGGAUAACAUUCUGAAAAGAAUGCUAAUACCGCAUGAUAUAUCGGAACCACAUGGUUCUGAUAUCAAAGAUUUUAUCGCUUGAAGAUGGACUCGCGUCCGAUUAGUUAGUUGGUGAGGUAACGGCUCACCAAGACCGCGAUCGGUAGCCGGACUGAGAGGUUGAACGGCCACAUUGGGACUGAGACACGGCCCAGACUCCUACGGGAGGCAGCAUG